rnacentral:rRNA from 1 species
CAUGGCUGUCGUCAGCUCGUGUCGUGAGAUGUUCGGUUAAGUCCGCUAACGAGCGCAACCCUCGUCGUAUGUUAUAUGUGUCAUACGAGACUGCCGGUAAAAAGCCGGAGGAAGGUGAGGAUGAUGUCAAGUCAGCAUGACCUUUAUAUCCAGGGCUACACACACGCUACAAUGGUCUGUACAAUGGGUAGCCAAGCCGCGAGGCGGAGCCAAUCCUGAAAGCAGGCCUCAGUUCAGAUUGCAGUCUGCAACUCGACUGCAUGAAGCCGGAGUUGCUAGUAACCGCAGGUCAGCAAUACUGCGGUGAAUACGUUCCCGGGUCUU